AUGAAUUUUGGAUCACAAAUUUUAAUUUCUCACUUUAUACAAAUCAAAACUAAAAUUAAUAAAAAAAUUAUAUAUUCAAAUUUAUUUUUUAUCAUGAACAAUAAACACAGCUUAACAAAAAAUUAUCUCGAUAAAUAAUAAUUUCAGUGACAUCAAAAUGGUAAAACAUAGUCUGAUAACUAUUGAGAACAAACAAAUAAAGAACUAGAAAGUAAAAUAUAUGUAUUAGAGGGAUUUACAAUAUCCCUCCCUAACUUAUCGAAUAUGUUUGUACAUUGAUUACUUUCCUUACACGUGUGCUUCAACUGGUAUAGGUGGAAACCAUCAAAGAGUGUCCUGCAAUCAGGUAUCAGAGUAUAAAGUAAUGGUUAAUCAACUUUUGAUUGCAAAUUAAGCGUGUAACCGAACAAGCAUCAAUUUCAUUGACAUGAGAAACAUUAUUAUCCCUUGCAAUGAUAAGACCAUCUCUUAAUGGCCAUAGUUCUACUUGAACACUAGUAGCAGACGAUAUAUGGCUAUAUGCUAGAACAAUCCAAUCCCUAUUACUAUCCCAAAUAAUUAUUCUUGUUCCAACUUUCCCAGGAGUAGUUAAGGUGAAGCCAUCCAUAUUCAAUUUAAGUCAUCCUCGUGGAGGUGGUUCCCAGUGAAUUCCUACCAUAGUGCGUAGCCCAUAUUGCAAUGCCGGCACGAAGAGAGCAUAGAAUCCACAACAACAUCCUUAGAUAAUCCAAUUUUCCCUAGCAUAAAAAGCAAGUAUAACUCUCCAAGGGAUUCAGUGAUCUUAAUGCCAAGCUUUGGCAUUCAAGUUAUACUUUAACUAGCCACAUAGCAAAGCACCAAAUUGAGUUCAAUUAUGCCCCCUUAGCCAAUUUUCGUUCCACCAUUGUAGAGAGACCCUACACUCUUUACGUACAAGUGUAAGGGUUUUCGGUGAUCCUUGCAUAAGGGGCACUUCUCAUCCACUUGACUCCUCUCCACUUAAUGACCAUUUCAGUUGGGACAAUCUCAUGGAAUCACACUUAAAGGGAAAAAUUACGUAAUUUUGGAGGGACUUAACUUCCCAAACAUGUUUCCAAUGUGAUCAGAUUUUAAUCUCAGCAAUAAACUUGGAAGCUAAGUCAUUUUUGGUAAAGUUAUAAGCACUUGCCAUUAUGAAAUUGUGGUUAGGGCUGAAAUUCCAACAAAUCAUGUCAUUACCUUGGGUAAAAGUGUAAUGAACCAUUUCUUAAUGGGGUCCAAAAAAUUAAUUUUAAGCUGAAUCUAAAAAAUUAAAUUAUUAAAUAAUUUAUAAAAGAAUAAUUACGUGUAAAAUAUUGAAUUGAGAGGUCGAAUUAAUGAGUGUGAUUGAAUUAAAUCAAUUACUAAGAACAGUACAAUGACUAAAUCACAAGGUUAGUAAAUAAAAUACUUAAUUUAAACUUAGGGCAAGUCCUUUGAACUCAAUGAGAAAGAAUGUAGGUAUUACAAGGAGAGAAUGUAGGUGUGCUUUGGAUAUGAUCUAGCAUUUUACAUGGAAUUUUCAACGAGAAAGAAUUGCUUCCGUUACAUACGCAGAAUUCAAUAUCUUGCUUGAAAGUCAGGCACUCCUCUUCAAAAUUAAGAGUGCCUUGCACUUGUACUCUUAGCGAUCCUUCCCUAACUAGUUAUCCAUCCAAAAUUUAACUAAUGUUUUAUCUCAGACAUUUUUCAAGUAACCCAUUCAUCUUUUUCAACGCACCCUAAGUUCGCGAGACACUUUGAACUUUUCUAAUCGCGUAUUUUCUUUUAACAUAUUUAUUAAGAAGUGUUUUGACCCAACAUUAUUGACAUUUUGUAAUGAGAGACCAAUCUAGUUUGAUAAUAAAGGUUGCAUUCUUAAGCUUAAAUGUCCUGAUGCUUAAUCCUUAAACUUCUUGGAUUUUCUAAAUAUUUCCUACUUAAUAAAGUGCAUCCUUGAUCUCUCCUUUGUACUUCUUCAUAGGAACUUUCAAGUAAUUCUAUCAAAGACUAUCCAAAUAAUUGUAGGGAGCAUUCUACAUUGUAUAAAAUAAUUAGGGAUUAUGAGAAUUAUCCUCUCCACUAAUGAGAGUAAGUUAAUGUUCCGUCGGUUUAACUUAUCUUUCAUUCUAUUCCCAUAAUAAAUUAUAGUUAAUCGUUUUCACCCUAUUUGUAUGUAUAAGAAAUCCUAGGUAUCUCCCUAUUCAUUUUGGAUAAUAGAAUGAUAUCAUCAAGAAAGAAAAAGAGUGAAAUCUCACCACCACUUGUUGAAAAUUUAUUAGUCUCCACUCUCUUUGGGUGCAUACGCUUUGAAUUUGCAGACUAGUAUCUUCUAUGUAUAAGAUGAGAAGCAUCAGCCCCCAGUUAAAAAUUUAUUUAUAUAUUACCUUUAGUUUUUAGAAAAUCAAAGUUAAUAUAACCUUAAAAUUGCAGCUGGAUCCCAAAAAAAUUAUUAUUUAUUAUUGGCUUCCCCUCUUAUUAAUAUAAUAAUUAAGAAUUUUAACAUUAAACGCAGAUGUUAUUAUAAUGACCCUAGAAAUGCUACUAUGAUAAAAUUAGAGGUUAUGAUUUGAAAGUGGGUUUUGAUUGCAGUGCAUGACAUCGUUGUCCCUAGAUAUUAAUCUUCUGGUUAGAUCUAGGAGGUUGACAAAUGAGGUAUAGCAUUAGCAAACUAUGUAAUCAUUUUCGUUUUUAGCAAGUUAGAUUCAUUAAACCGCCUUUCUAUUUUUCUUUCCAAAACAAUAUUUAAGCUUUACCUUUACUUGUUAGAUUUAAUGCUUUGACCGUUCAUAUAGAUUUAACAUCAUUCAAUAUACGUGCUUUAGUGAUAGAUAUCUUCACUUCUAUUGCCAUGACUUUCAUCAUUUUCAACCGCAAACAAAAAUACCAUACCUUUCUUCAUGUUUCUCUACCAUGCACAAUCUCGAUAUUUUAAUAUCUUUCAUUAUUUUCUUUAAUACCGUUCAUAGAUUUAACAUCAUUCAAUAUACGUGCUUUAGUGAUAGAUAUAAUGACUUUAUUUUUAUUUUUAUUAUUUAAAUGCCUCAAUAUAUCAUUUCAUACAUAAAUUUGAAAUUUUUUUAAUGUAAUACUUAUUUUCCUUUUUAAGAUAGUUAGAGGCGGAUACAAGGAGGCUGGCAGUCGCCUUGGUCCCCCUAAAAUGGAAAAUUUAUAUUUAGGCCUUUCAAAUUUUUUUUAAAAUCUUAAAUUAGUAAAGGUAAAAUUAUACUUUGGCCCCCCUAAAAUUAUAAAAAUUAGAUUUAAUCCUUUAAAAAUUAUAAAGAUAUAGACUAUAAAAAAUUAAAUUUCCAUUCGGCCCCCCUAAAAAUUUGUUCUGGCUUUGCCCCUGAACAUAGUGUUCGUAUUUGAUAAAAAUUAUAAUUUUUGAUACCUAAAGGUAAUGACAUUAAAUUUUUAGUGAUUAAUUAAAGUUUUAGAGUUGAUUUGAUGAAAUUUAAUAAUUAAUAAUAAUAUUAAUAAUUAAGUUUCAUCAAAUCAAUAAUACAUUUAAAAUAUAUAUAUAACCAUUAGACUGUAUUUAAUAAAUUAAACAAAUUUAUAAUUAAUUUAAAUCUAAUAAUAUUAAUGACUAACUUUCAUCAAAAUAAACUAUAAAAUUCAAAUUAAACAUUAAAAAAUUAAAUUACCUUUAAAUAUUAACAUAUAUUAUCUCUACCAAAUAAAUAUAACACAUUAAAAAAUCACUAAUAGUAAAUUUAAAAAUUAUUAAACUCAAGUAUUAAGAACUAAUAGUAUUAAACUUUACAAAUUCGAUAUAAAUAAAAAUCAAUUUAUGAUAAAGUAGGAAGACCUUUUUUCUUUUAUCCUUUUCGGUACAUGCACGGACGCAAAAGAUUUUUCUUUUGCCCCCAAUUUAAUAUCAUUUAUAAUAGUUCUAUAAUAGUUUAUUUCUUUUUUUUAUUAGCAUUAAACAAUUAAAUCUUUAAAAUAAUGAAUAUUUCUACUAACAAAAGUUUAAAGCAAAAAAAGGCAUAUAAUUUUCUAUUAAAAACUUAAAUAUAAACAUAUAUCUAUUAAUUAGGACUCCAUUUUUUUUUCAACUCAUGCAAAAUCAAUUUAUUAUUUAUAUUUGAAAUUAAAUAUUCACAUUUAACUUGAAUUAAAUAAAGAUUAAUAUUUGAUGCUAUGACUUUUUUUUUAUGUUCCAUUGAUGAACCCAAUGAUAACACAUUAUUUAAAAGCUUUAAAAAUAUAUUCAUUUAUCCAAGGGUGAAGUUAAAAAAUUUUAGGGUAAAAUUAAAUUAUAUAUUUUUAUGAUAGUAAAAAUAUAAUUUCAUCAUUUUAAUAGACUAUAUCUUUAAAAUUUUAAAGCAAUAAAUAAAAAUUUUAUCAUUUUAGGGGUCAAAGUGCUAUUUUACUAUUACUAAUUUAAAUUUUUUUCAUUAUAAAGGGGUCUUAAUUAAAAAAAUUCAUUUCAAGAAAUUAAAAAAAAUUAUUUCAAAAAAUUAAAAAAUUUUCAUUUUAAGAGAGACCGAGGUCUCUACCAGUCCCUUUGACUUUGCCCCUGCAUUUAUCAUUAUUUCAAAUGAUGUAUCAUUAUCUAAUUCAUGGAAAAUGAAUAAAAUUAUACAGUAUCAAAGCAUCAAAUAUUAAUUCAUUAAAUUAAAAAAUAUUUUACACUUCAAAAUAUAUAUAUCUAAAAUUUAUUAUCUAUAACUUUCAUAAACAGAAUUAUAAUAAAAUUAAUUUCGAUCAUAAAAUAUAUUACGCACUUUAUAAUAAAACCUAAAUUUAAUAUUAUUGAUUGUGAUAACCAUGAAUCAGGAGUCGGGAGACAUGCUUUAAAAAUUUUUGUAAUAAGGGGUGUUUUUGAACUGUGAUGAAGAAACUAUCAUUAUUGAGUCAGAUUCAGUUACUGCUAUUACAUGGCAAACUGAAUGUGCAGGAAAAGACCAUGUCACUUGAGAUGUAUGCGGUCUGUUUCCAGAAUCUUGUUGCAUGUUCUUUUAAUAAAUAACACUUAUCUCUGCCGAGCGGGAAAAAAAAAACAUAUUGGAUACCUAAAAAUAAAUAAUAAAAUAUUUAAUUGUCGGUGUAUUGAAACUCUUAAAAAAAAAUGACAACCAUGUAAUUACAAAACAAGAUUGAAUGUGGGUGAGAGUGAGAGUCUACCUCAAAUAUGGCCAAAGAAAGCAACCUAAAGAUUCAAACUGCACUUUUUUCUCUAUUUUUCUUCUACAAUCCACACUUCAAAUUAUUUUUACAAUUAGCAUUUUAAAUCAUUUAAUAAAUAUAAAUAUAUAUAUAAUAUUUUAAGUCGAUAUAACAGAAUAUCAAAUUAAUUAAAAAUUUUAUCUAGAUGACAUUUACAAUUAUAUUUAAUAAAUUUAACGAUUGGAUGUUAAAAUAUUUAUAAUACAAAAUAUUAUUAUAAAUGGAUUCGUUCCCUAUAAAUUAUUAUAUAAUAAAAAAUAAAAAUUUAAGACUUUAAUUUUGUAUAAUAAAAGGAUUAUAAAAACAUCUAAACCCUUAAUCAUGCCACUUAAUCUAUGACUGUAUAAAUAAAAAUAACACGUCAAAGAUUACAUUAACCAUCAAAUCUAACACUAUAAUCAACACUUCCAACAUUAAUGAUUCACAAUCAUAUUAGCUUACAAUGAGGGCUAUUUCUGCAUAUGUAGUUUUAAUACUUCUAUUAUCGUAAUUAAAAAGAUUCUGUAUUUAUAUGGCGCAGUAAUGAUAAGUUAUGUGAAUUUUUAUUUUCUAUAAUUUGUUAUUAUUUUUCAUGCUAGCUGAUACUUUUUCUUAUUUUAUUUCUGGUCAAAAAUUGAGGACAAUUCUUAAAAAAAUGCCAUCUUUUCUUUAAAAUUAUUGUAUUAGAUUGUUUUUUUUUUAAAUUACGGGAUUAGGCUGAAAUAAUAAAAUGCUUCUAGUUGGAAGCAUUUUUAACGGAUUUACAGGAAAGUCCUUAUAGUUGAAAGUGUUUUUAACAUAUUAGCAGAAAGACACUUUCAAGUAGAAACGUUUCCAUUUUUUCGACCUAAUCCCAUUAUUUUUAAAAAUAAAGUCUAAUCCAAUAUUUCUUUUAAACUGCAUUUUUAGAAAAUUUACUCCAAAUAUUGCUGGAUAUAUUGAACCCUUUUCAAGGGAAAAAUCUGAAAGGGUGCUUGAGGGCAUCUCAAAAUGGUCAGUGACCACCCAAAUGGCCUGUUAAGUAAUUCAACUUAAAAAACUGGGGCUUACGAAGCAUACUUUUUCUGCAUCCAAUUCAACCAAGAAGACCAAAAUCAUGCAAUUUCUCGGCUGUUUUACCUAAAAAAGCACUUUAAAAAAUAUAAUUACUGUAAUGGGCCAUUUAUUAAGUUAUUUAUCGGAUUAAGCCGUUUUCCACGAAAACGCGUCCAUAUCAGCGCGCUUUAGUGUCCACAUCAACAAAAUGUUUCUCUGGGGAACAUUUUGUCCAUGUUAGCAAAAAACGCGUCCUUGGGGGCGCGCUUUGCUGACGUGGGCAAAACGCUCCCCCAGGGAAGCGUUUUAGCCCGAGUAUAAAUUUUCAAAAAAUGUUAUUUUUUAAAUAUUAUAAAAAUAGACCAAUUUUUUUGAAAAUUUACAAGUAUAAAUCUUAAAAAAUGCUCAAAGUGAAAAUACCACUUUUUUUUAAAGUGUUACCAAUUAAUAUGGAAACAAAACUUAAAAAGCAAAUCUUUAUAUGGACUGAAAGUCUUAUUUCCCUUUCUUUUUUUUUAAGCAAUGUGGGAUAUGAGAUAUGUGUAUAUUUAGACUUAUGAAUAGGUUUGCAGCUUGUUCCUAAACAAUGUGAGAUUCCUUCCUCUUUUAACUAACAACAUAAAAUUAAAAGCUACACUAUAUUUUAUAUUUUUUUUACUUAGAAUUUAAUUUUUUUUACAAAAAGUUAACAUUUGUUACAUUAUAAAUAAAAAUUUUAAACUCUAUAAGUAAAAAAAUUAUCAAAUAUAAAAUGAGUAUGGUAAAAUAUUAAAAAUAAAUAUUUAAAAAAUUACUAAUAGUUGAGUGAUCAUUUUGUAAGUUUUUAUAAGUCUAUAGCUAAAAAAUCAAAGUUAAGUGACUACUAAUGUAAUUUAAUCUAGAUAUAAAAAUAUGAAAAAUAAUUAUUAUAUUUUAUGUAUAUUAUAUAUUUCUAUAAAAAAACUUAUUUAGCAUAAUUAUAUACUAUAUUUAAAUAAAUUAUCUAUCUAGUCAAAAUACAUCUUAAAUAAAAUUAUCAGCAUUCAUUAGGUGAUGAAAAUUAAAUUAAAAUUAGAAUUAAAAAAUUUAAUUAGUAUAAUAAAAUAUUAAAAAUAAGUAAAUAUUUAAAAAAGAUAUAUUAAUUUUUUUAAAUUACAUAAAACUACUAUUUGAGUGCCAAAUACUCACCAUUAUUUAUUAGUCAAACAUUCACAAUAUAAAAUAAAAAAUAAAAUUAAAAAAAUUAAAAGUAUAACUUCUAAAUUUAAAUAAUGGAAAAUUAUUUUAAAAAUUAGAAUUGCAUUGAUAUUAACUUCAAACAUUUAAAGUUGAAUAGAAGAUUAUUAUUGCAUGUACAAGCUCCAUAUGUGCAAUUUGUUCUCUUUUUUUAAUAGUUCUUUUGUAUAUGUUAACAAUUCUAAAAUGCAACAAGAUUAUAUCUCAAAAGUUAAUUUUAUAUUAUGAGAAAAUGUUAACAAAAUAUAAAAAAUAGAAAUUGUUUUGUAAAAAAAUAAUAAAAUAUAGUGUAGCAUUUAGUCUCAUGUUGUUAGUUAAAGGAGAAAGGAAUCCCACAUUGUUUAGUAACAAGCUGCAAACUUACUCAUGAGUCUAUAUAUACACAUAUCUCAUAUCCCACAUUGCUUAAGAAAAUAAGAGAAAUGAGACUUUGAGUCUAUAUAAAGAUUUGCUUUGUAAGUUUUAUUUCCAUAUUAAUUGGUAAAACCUUGAAAAAAAAUAGUGUUGUCACUUUAAGCUUUUUUAAGGUUUAUUCUUAUAAAUUUUUAAAAGAAUUGGUCUAUUUUUAUAAUAUUUAAAAAAUGACCUUUUUUGAAAAUUUAAACUCGGGCUAAAAUGUGUCCUUGGGGGAGCGUUUUUACCAUAUCAGCAAAGUGCGUCCACGAGGGCACGAAAUGUGGACAUGUUUUCGUAAAAAACUGCCUAAUCCGAUAAAUAAGUCAAUAAACGACUCAUUUUCAUAAUUAUAUUUUUUAAAGGGCCUUUUUGGUAAAACGGCCCAACUUCUCAGUCAAACCCAACAAAAUAGGACCCAUAGGAAAAUAAAUUUAUAGUUGUUAAUUGAUAAAAAAAAAUUCGAGAUUCAAUCAAACACUUUCUAUUAUCUCAUUUCUCAUUCUGAAGGUUAUGAGAUUUUUAUUUUUAUUUUAUAAAAUAAAUGAUGAAUUUUGUUUAAAUUUAUUUUUAUUUUUAUUUAUCACGUGCGAAUUCAUAUUUAAAUUUAUUUUAAUUUAAAUUAAAUUUAAUCUAUACUUUAUAAUACUUAUAUAAUAAAUUUAAAAUAAUGAAUUUAAGCAUACUUAAACACAUAAUGUCCUUUAAUAUAAAACUUUAACAAUAUAUAAAUAAUUUAAGCAUUGGAUAAAAAUAAAAAAAUAGUAUAAUAUACUUUAUAACCACUCAACUUUUAGUAUAUUUUGUUUUUCAUUACUAAUCAAAAUAAAUAAUAUUUUCAUCUGUUUUUAAAUAAUUUAAUUUUGAAAUUAAUUCUAUCUAAUUUUAAAAUCAAUAUUUACACUAUCAUAAAUGGAUGCAGUGACUAUUUUUAUAAUCGGUAGGUUUUUAAUAUUAUAAAUUUUCUUAUCUUUUUAUACACAUACAUGCACAAAAGUACAAUAAUAUCACAUACUAGUUUUCGAGUAAGUCAAAUUCUAGUACCAGCUUGUGAUAUAUAUAUAAGUUGAGAAUUUAAUAUAUAUAUAUAUAUAUAUAUUCUAAUUUAACUAAUUUUAGUUCUAAUAUUUUUUAAAAUUUGAAAUUAUAAUCAUAACCUAGUUAAAUUUAUUACAUCAAAUUUUGUUAUUAUUAUCAUAAGUUUUGAAUUUAGUUCUUAUUUUCCAAUUUGAUUAUUUUUAGUCAAUAUAUUUUUAAAAUACUUGUCCUUACUAAAAUAAUAGUUGUUAAAUCACUUAGCUAAGAUAACAUAAAUUUUCUGUAAAUAUUAUAUAAAAACAGUGAGUUAACUUGGAACUACAGACACGAGAUGAUAUAUUUGUUGCAUAAUAUUUUUAAAAUAACAGAAUUCAACUUAAUAAAUUUAACAACUACUUUUUGGGUCAAGAUUGAAAUUUAAAAAUUUUAAAAAUAAAUAAAAUAAAAAUGAUCAAACUAAAGUAGAAUGAUUGAAUCCACAACUUAUGCAUAAUACAAAGACUAAUAGUAAAAUUUGAUAUUUGAAUAUAUUAUAUAUUAAUUAUGCUAUAUUUAUUAUUUUAUUUAGUUUUAUCAUUAUUUUAAAAAAAUUAUAUUAUAUAUUAGUUAUUAAAUACUAUGGCAUGAGUAUACAACUAAUAAAAGUAUAUAUAAGGACAUAUAAAAGUAAGGAAUAAUUACAAUAUCAAAAUAAUUUCAACAUUUAUGAAGGAUGAGGUUGAUAGUUACAUUAAAAUUAAAAUAAGGAUUAUGAUAAAAAUAUUAAAACAUUACUCAACAUUUAUGGGAGUGGAGAUUCAAAUUUAGACUUCUCAAUCAAAGUUAUUCUUUUUGUGCACUCCUUAAUACUAAAAAGUUCAGUAAUUAAAAAUUUACAGGAACAGCUCCUUAAAAAUGAAUUAUGUGAAAAAAAAAAUUAAACAUACAUAUUUUAUAAAAAAUUAAAAUAUAUUCGUACAUUUAAAAUUUAGUCUUUAUAUUUUAAUUUUUAAGAAUUUAAUCUCUCCACUAUUUUAAAUCCAACUAACAUUGUUAAAAUUAUUUUAUUAACUUUAAGUUAUUUACAAUGUCAUUUUUUAAUUACGUGACUACUAAGUAAGUAUAUUUUUUUAUUUCAAAUUGUCAUUCCAGUAAAUUUAAUAAAAAAUAUUUAACACAAUUAGACCAAAAUUUUGAAAUCUAAAAAGAGGACUAAAUUAUUGAAAAUAUAAAUAUAAAGACUAAAUUCUUAAUUUAUGAGAAGUAUAGGAGGUUAUGGUAUAUUUUAACCUUUAAAAAAUAAUAGUUUUAUUUUUCAAUAUGGUCGAAUAGAAAACCAGCAUUUAGCUUUAAUAUAUUCCACCUAAUAUGUUUUUCCUUUUAAAAUUUUAAUUCAUUUUAUUCUUCCUGCUUAAUUUUCCUUCUUCUUCUUCCCUGGUUUUUGUGUUGCUUCUCCUUCUACUUCUUUCUGGGUCCCCAAAAUCCUGUGUCAACAGUUUAACACAGAGCUCAAAGACCCAAAAACAACUUCCGCCAGCACUUUUGCUCUUUUAAAAGAGUAUAUCGACGUCCAUAAAUUAACCUCUUCAUUUCGUCAAAUUUUUGCAGGAGUUGAACCACUAUAUUCAUAUAAUAUCAUUUCUACCUAGGGGAAUAAAGCAUAUCAUAAUUGAUGACAUUAUCUAAUUUCACAACUCUAAACUAUUGCAACCAAAAAAAAAAGGAACAGAAGAUUAUCCGUUCCUUCUCUUCAAAAUUUAAGAAUCGGCAGAAACCCAAUUUGAUAGAGAAAUAAGUGGAUAAAAAUCUCAGUUUUUAUUUUUAAAUUGUUUUUAAUCAGAUCAGAGUUCCUCUCUCUGCUCCAAGACUAAAUCCAAUUCCAAUUCCAUCUAAAGAGUAGAACAAAAUUAUUCAGUUUACAUACCCCCCCCCAAAAAAAAAAAAACCACUAAAUAUAUACAUCUAUAUAAUAUAAAGCAGAUUCAAUCAUUACAAACUAAUUCAACAGAAUAAACCUCAAAUAUCAUAGCUGGAAAAAAAAUUCAACAAAAAGAAACGAAUGCAAAAAUGAUACGCAUGUGAUCAGAGGAAAUGGAAGAGCAGACGUACCUUUCAUCGAAUAACACCGCUCCUAGGAUCAUCACCAUAUCUCUUUUAUUUUUGUUUCCGAGAUCAUAUAAGUUGCUGUUUUGUGUCGUCAAUCAGCGUUUUCUUUCCUUUUUUUUUUUUUUUGAUUUGUUUGUUCAUUGUGCGUUUCAGUUCGGGUGGGAUGGAGUUUUGGAAUUCACAUUUUACAUUUAAGAGAAAUUAUCCAUCUAUUAUGUCCAGAUUCUUGAAGCAGUUCUUUUGAAGAAUAACAUUCAAAUAUUUUAAAAAAGAAACGAAACAGGUGAAGUUAUCCAUCUAUUAUCAUAUUCCUUAAGCAGUUUCCUUUACAUGUUGAUUUUGGCUGCAGUGGUUACAGAGAAUGAUUUCAGCUUCAAAGUUUGUUAACGGUGGAAGUUUAUUUGAAGAAGAAGAGAAGAAAAAAAACGGAGAAGAAGAAGGUGGAGAAUAUUAAAGCCAUUUCGCAUGUCCAGGCAGUGGCGGAACUCUGAAGUUUAUAUCUAUUUUAUAAAAUAAAAUUUCGGCCACACAUAUGUCAUAAAUCCAAAAAUGUUUAUGAAAAUUGAAAUCUUAUUAUAAAAUUAAAAUUUUUAAUUGUCAUGGUCCAAACCAAGGAACAAAAAUUGAAUGUUAUACAUUAAAUCGAAAACAUACAAAUAAGGGGUGAGUGAAAACAUAAUGAUAGUUUGACAAUUUAAAGAUAAAACCAAAGAAAUGGU
rnacentral:lncRNA from 1 species